CCUACGGGGGGCAGCAGUGGGGAAUAUUGCACAAUGGGGGAAACCCUGAUGCAGCAACGCCGCGUGAGCGAAGAAGGCCUUCGGGUCGUAAAGCUCUGUCCUAAGGGAAGAAUUUUGACGGUACCUUUGGAGGAAGCCCCGGCUAACUACGUGCCAGCAGCCGCGGUAAUACGUAGGGGGCGAGCGUUAUCCGGAAUCACUGGGUGUAAAGGGUGCGUAGGCGGUAGGGCAAGUCAGAGGUGAAAGGCUACGGCUCAACCGUAGUAAGCCUUUGAAACUGUAGGGCUUGAGUGCAGGAGAGGAGAGUGGAAUUCCCAGUGUAGCGGUGAAAUGCGUAGAUAUUGGGAGGAACACCAGUUGCGAAGGCGGCUCUCUGGACUGUAACUGACGCUGAGGCACGAAAGCGUGGGGAGCGAACAGGAUUAGAUACCCCAGUAGUC
rnacentral:rRNA from 1 species